rnacentral:rRNA from 1 species
GACGAACGCUGGCGGCGUGCCUAAUACAUGCAAGUAGAACGCUGAAGAGAGGAGCUUGCUCUUCUUGGAUGAGUUGCGAACGGGUGAGUAACGCGUAGGUAACCUGCCUUGUAGCGGGGGAUAACUAUUGGAAACGAUAGCUAAUACCGCAUAACAAUGGAUGACACAUGUCAUUUAUUUGAAAGGGGCAAUUGCUCCACUACAAGAUGGACCUGCGUUGUAUUAGCUAGUAGGUGAGGUAAUGGCUCACCUAGGCGACGAUACAUAGCCGACCUGAGAGGGUGAUCGGCCACACUGGGACUGAGACACGGCCCAGACUCCUACGGGAGGCAGCAGUAGGGAAUCUUCGGCAAUGGGGGCAACCCUGACCGAGCAACGCCGCGUGAGUGAAGAAGGGUUUCGGAUCGUAAAGCUCUGUUGUAAGUCAAGAACGGGUGUGAGAGUGGAAAGUUCACACUGUGACGGUAGCUGACCAGAAAGGGACGGCUAACUACGUG